CCGGAUCCAAGAUCAGUCUUCAUUGUGAAUCUGAUUUCAGAGGCAGCCUAGCUGUUCUCUGUCGUCAACUUUAACCCUGGUACUUCGGUGCCAACUUUUACACAGCGACCUCUGCUUCGGCAUCGUUCACGCACCCCCCCAUAUUCUAUAUGGAAACUGGAAAGAACCAAAUGACCUAAAGCCAAAGUGCAGCUGGUCUGGUGCUGAGCCUUGUGCCAGCACCGCCCUGUACACAAACCUAAUGACUUACAACUUUCAGCGGUGGAUGUCUAGGUUCCCACAACGAUGAAGAACGCAGCGAAAUGCGAUACGUAAUGCGAAUUGCAAGACCUCGUGAAUCAUUAAGAUUUUGAACGCACAUUGCGCUUUCGGGAUUUUCCCGGUAGCAUGCUUGUCUGAGUGUCUGUGGAUCCCCCUCAGCACUGGUCUAUUCAUUAGACCGGUAGCUGGUUGCUUUGGCUUUGACUGCCCCUGGCUGUCUUUGCUUAAAUUCUACAACACGUACGUGCAUAGAUCUAGAAAAGUCUUAGUCCGUUCUGAUAACGGCGUUGACACUCUCAUCUAUCUCUGGUAGCUUGUCUCUGGAGUUCACCUGAGUGUGUUAUCAGCUGUUUGAAGCACUUCUGAGUCUGUCUCUAAGUCUAGCUUGCAGUUUAACUGCUUGCUAUCCAAUUCCGGAUCUCAGAUCAAGCAAGAUGACCCGCCGAAUUUAAGCAUAUAAUUAAGCGGAGGAAAAGAAACUAACUAGGAUUCCCUCAGUAACGGCGAGUGAAGCGGGACUAGCUCAGGAUGUGAAUCUGCGCUUUUAUGGCGCCGAAUUGUGGUCUAUAGACUUUAACGUUAUCUGCCGGGCCAAGUUCCUUGGAAAAGGACAGCUGAAGAGGGUGAGACUCCCGUCCGCCUGGUAGAAUUGAGUUUUUGUCAACGAGUCGAGUUGUUUGGGAUUGCAGCUCUAAUUUGGUGGUAAAUUCCAUCUAAAGCUAAAUAUUGGGUGGGAGACCGAUAGCGUACAAGUACCGUUGAGGGAAAGAUGCAAAGAACUUUGAAAAGAGAGUUAAAGAGUACCUGAAAUUGCUGAAACGGAAGCGAAGGAAACCAGUGUUUGUUGGUUCAUAUUUCCCUGGCCACUUGUGGUUUGGGCGCU
rnacentral:rRNA from 1 species